UAGGGAAUCUUCGGCAAUGGGGGGAACCCUGACCGAGCAACGCCGCGUGAGUGAAGAAGGUUUUCGGAUCGUAAAGCUCUGUUGUUAAGGAAGAACGAGUGUGAGAAUGGAAAGUUCAUACUGUGACGGUACUUAACCAGAAAGGGACGGCUAGCUACGUGCCAGCAGCCGCGGUAAUACGUAGGUCCCGAGCGUUGUCCGGAUUUAUUGGGCGUAAAGCGAGCGCAGGCGGUUAGAUAAGUCUGAAGUUAAAGGCAGUGGCUCAACCAUUGUAGGCUUUGGAAACUGUUUAACUUGAGUGCAGAAGGGGCGAGUGGAAUUCCAUGUGUAGCGGUGAAAUGCGUAGAUAUAUGGAGGAACACCGGUGGCGAAAGCGGCUCUCUGGUCUGUAACUGACGCGGAGGCUCGAAAGCGUGGGGAGCGAACAGG
rnacentral:rRNA from 1 species